AAAAACAUAUUUAAUAGAUAUAAUUAUUAAUAUAUCCUGCUCAAUGAGUAUUUAAAUAGCCGCAGUUCAUACUGUGCUAAGGUAGCAUAAUCAUUUGUCUUUUAAUUAAAGACUAGAAUGAAAGGAUAAACAUUUCAAUCUUUAUUAAAAUUUCAUUUUUAAAAUUUAAUUUAAAUGUAAAAAAGCAUUUAUUCUUAAGAAAGACGAAAAGACCCUAUUGAACUUAACUAAAGUUAAACUGGGGCAGUUAAUCAAACAAUAUUUUAAUUUUAAUCUAAAAAAAAAUGACCCGACACAAUCGAUAACAUGAUCAAGUUACCAUAGGGAUAACAGCGUAAUAAUUUUCUAUAGCUCUUAUAUAAUAAGUUGAUUGCGACCUCGAUGUUGAAUUAAUUAAUCUUAAAAAUGCAACAAUUUUUAAAGAAAGUCUGUUCRACUUUUAAUAAAUUACAUGAUC
rnacentral:rRNA from 1 species